rnacentral:rRNA from 1 species
CACGCUGUAAACGAUGAGUAUUAGGUGUAGGGGACGAUAGUCUUCUGUGCCGGAGCAAACGCAAUAAAUACUCCGCCUGGGGAGUACGGUCACAAGACUAAAACUCAAAGGAAUUGACGGGGGCCCGCACAAGCAGCGGAGCAUGUGGUUUAAUUCGAAGCAACGCGAAGAACCUUACCAGGGCUUGACAUAUACAGGGAUACAUCAGAGAUGAUGUAGAGCCUGCGCAAGCAGGAGCUGUAAUACAGGUGG